rnacentral:rRNA from 1 species
UACGGGGGGGGCAAGCGUUGUUCGGAAUUACUGGGCGUAAAGGGCGCGUAGGCGGUUUGCUAAGUCGAAUGUGAAAACUCUGGGCUUAACCCAGAGCCUGCAUUCGAUACUGGCGAGCUAGAGUUCUGGAGGGGAUAGCGGAAUUCCUGGUGUAGCGGUGAAAUGCGUAGAUAUCAGGAGGAACACCGGUGGCGAAGGCGGCUUUCUGGACGGUAACUGACGCUGAGACGCGAAAGCGUGGGGAGCAAACAGG